GAUGAAGAACGUAGCGAAAUGCGAUACUUGGUGUGAAUUGCAGAAUCCCGUGAACCAUCGAGUCUUUGAACGCAAGUUGCGCCCGAAGCCAUUAGGCCGAGGGCACGCCUGCCUGGGCGUCACACGUCGUUGCCCCCCCAUCUACUCCUUCGGGAUUGCGGGGGGCGGAUGAUGGCCUCCCGUGCGCCACGCCGCGCGGUUGGCAUAAAUGCCAAGUCCUCGGCGACGCACGCCACGACAAUCGGUGGUUGCGAAACCUCGGUUGCCUGUCGUGUGCGGUCGUCGCGCAUCGAGGGCUCGAAAAAAUUGCCGGGUUCCGGCUCGGCUUUCAACGCGACCCCAGGUCAGGCGGGGUUACCCGCUGAAUUUAAGCAUAUCAAUAAGCGGAGGA
rnacentral:misc_RNA from 1 species